ensembl:lncRNA
ACAGUGGUCUCCUGAAUGAGUUGGGGACAGGGCUGAAUGUAUAAAGGUCAACAGAACAGUGGUCUCCUGAUGGAGUUGGGGACAGGGCUGAAUGUGUAAAGGUCAACAGAACAGUGGUCUCCUGAAUGAGUUGGGGACAGGGCUGAAUGUGUAAAGGUCAACAGAACAGUGGUCUCCUGAUGGAGUUGGGGACAGGGCAUGAACUCAUUGUAAAGGUCAACAGAGCAGUGGUCUCCUGAUGGAGUUGGGGACAGGGCUGAAUGUGUAAAGGUCAACAGAACAGUGGUCUCCUGAUGGAGUUGGGAACAGGGCUGAAUGUGUAAAGGUCAACAGAACAGUGGUCUCCUGAUGGAGUUGGGGACAGGGCUGAAUGUGUAAAGGUCAACAGAACAGUGGUCUCCUGAUGGAGUUGGGGACAGGGCUGAAUGUGUAAAGGUCAACAGAACAGUGGUAUCCUGAUGGAGUUGGGGACAGGGCUGAAUGUGUAAAGGUCAACAGAACAGUGGUCUCCUGAAUGAGUUGGGGACAGGGCUGAAUGUGUAAAGGUCAACAGAACAGUGGUCUCCUGAUGGAGUUGGGGACAGGGCAUGAACUCAUUGUAAAGGUCAACAGAACAGUGGUCUCUUAAUGUAGUUGGGGACAGGGCUGAAUGUGUAAAGGUCAACAGAACAGUGGUCUCCUGAAUGAGUUGGGGACAGGGCUGAAUGUGUAAAGGUCAACAGAACAGUGGUCUCCUGAUGGAGUUGGGGACAGGGCAUGAACUCAUUGUAAAGGUCAACAGAACAGUGGUCUCCUGAUGGAGUUGGGGACAGGGCUGAAUGUGUAAAGGUCAACAGAACAGUGGUCUCCUGAUGGAGUUGGGGACAGGGCUGAAUGUGUAAAGGUCAACAGAACAGUGUUCUCCUGAUGGAGUUGGGGACAGGGCUGAAUGUGUAAAG